GGAGGGGUGGCAGAGCGGUUGAAUGCACUGGUCUUGAAAACCAGCGAUGGGUUAAACCAUCCGAGAGUUCGAAUCUCUCCCCCUCCGCCA
rnacentral:tRNA from 1 species